rnacentral:misc_RNA from 1 species
AAGUCGCCUCGGGCCCACAACGGUGUCGGCUCGGAUUUGGACGUUUGCCGUAGUGGCUCGUCUUGAAAUGCAUUAGCUGCCUGCCGCAGACCGAAUGGCCGGGUGUAAUAAGUCGCAUCUUUCACCCCUCGGGACGUGUGCGUGCGUGCGCGUGGCUCACAAACGAAAUCUCUUGA